rnacentral:rRNA from 1 species
UGAAAGAUGGGCUCGCGUCUGAUUAGAUAGUUGGUGGGGUAACGGCCCACCAAGUCGACGAUCAGUAGCCGGACUGAGAGGUUGAACGGCCACAUUGGGACUGAGAUACGGCCCAGACUCCUACGGGAGGCAGCAGUGGGGAAUAUUGGGCAAUGGGGGAAACCCUGACCCAGCAACGCCGCGUGAAGGAAGAAGGCUUUCGGGUUGUAAACUUCUUUUACCAGGGACGAAGAAAGUGACGGUACCUGGAGAAAAAGCCACGGCUAACUACGUGCCAGCAGCCGCGGUAAUACGUAGGUGGCAAGCGUUGUCCGGAUUUACUGGGUGUAAAGGGCGUGUAGGCGGAGAUGCAAGUCAGAUGUGAAAUCCCCGGGCUUAACCCGGAAACUGCAUUUGAAACUGUAUCCCUUGAGUAUCGGAGAGGCAGGCGGAAUUCCUAGUGUAGCGGUGAAAUGCGUAGAUAUUAGGAGGAACACCAGUGGCGAAGGCGGCCUGCUGGACGAC